rnacentral:lncRNA from 1 species
AUGCAGACCCCUGGGGCACUACUCAUUUCUCAGGCUCUGAUCUGCUGUAGUACUAGGGGUUUACUCAGGUCUGUGUCUGCCUCCUUUCUGAAUAGGCCAAAUAAUUUAUCCAAACAGCUUUCCUACGGCAGCUCUCCGCUCCACGUGGCCAGAUAGGAGUUCCAGACCAGUGUUGUCUCCUGGGACAUUGACACAGCAGCCAAGUUUAUUGAUGCUGGGGCAAUCACAAUUGGUUGGUUGGUUUGAGAUAGGGGGCUGGCAUAGCAAUGGUGUCUGGCAACUUGAUCAUUCACUAUGCCAUCAGCCCAUCUCUCAAGGAACAGCUCUUCUAUGCCAUUCUGGACUUUGCCCUAUCUGAGGCCAUGGGACUCUUCUGUUUGACAGUCACCUUCCUCAUCCUCUUUGCCAUG